CCUACGGGAGGCAGCAGUGAGGAAUAUUGGGCAAUGGGGGGAACCCUGACCCAGCAACGCCGCGUGGAGGAUGACGGCCUUCGGGUUGUAAACUCCUUUUGUGGGGGAAGAGGAAGGACAGUACUCUAGGAAUAAGUCUCGGCUAACUACGUGCCAGCAGCCGCGGUAAAACGUAGGAGGCUAGCGUUAUCCGGAUUUAUUGGGCGUAAAGCGCGUGCGGGCGGUGCUCUAAGUUGGGUGUAAAAUCUCCCGGCCUAACUGGGAGGGGUCAUUCAAUACUGGGGCACUUGAGGGCAGUAGAGGGAAGCGGAAUUCCCGGUGUAGCGGUGGAAUGCGUAGAUAUCGGGAGGAACACCAGUGGCGAAAGCGGCUUCCUGGUCUGUACCUGACGCUGAGACGCGAAAGCUAGGGGAGCAAACGGGAUUAGAUACCCCGGUAGUCCUAGCUGUAAACGAUGGAUACUAGGUGUUGGUGGUAUUGACCCCAUCAGUGCCGAAGCUAACGCGUUAAGUAUCCCGCCUGGGGACUACGACCGCAAGGUUAAAACUUAAAGGAAUUGACGG
rnacentral:rRNA from 1 species